rnacentral:tRNA from 1 species
UCGGGAAGUGGCUCAGUUUGGUAGAGCAUUCGGUUUGGGACCGAAGGGUCGCAGGUUCAAAUCCUGUCUUCCCGACCAU